CUGAACAUCGACAUCUUGAACGCAUAUUGCGGCCAUGGGUUAGCCUGUGGCCACGCCUGUCCGAGGGUCGGCUUAUAAACUAUCACGACGCCCAUAUAGUCGUGGCUUGGGUCUUACCAGCUGGCGUGAUUUCCCCACCUUGUAUUUGGAUGAUGUUGAAUGCUUGGUUGGGGUGCCAGAUCUAUGGUUUUUCCCUAAUGUAUCCGGACACCUGUAUUAGCGGUGACGGAGUCGUGGCUAAAUGACUGAAUAAUAGCGCGCUCCGGGUAACCGUUCGAUCGGUCGGUCGAGGGAUCGAUUUGAUCCGGGUGUUCCGUGUCCAUUGGUCUUAUUGCACAGCUGGCUAGUUUGUGUGCAUUUGGCCUGUAUAUAUAAUUUCCCUGACCUCGGAUCAGACGUGAUUACCCGCUGAACUUAAGCAUAUCACUAAGCGGAGGAAAAGAAACUAACCAGGAUUCCCCUAGUAACUGCGAGUGAACAGGGAUUAGCCCAGCACCGAAUCCUGUGGUCAUUUGGCUACUAGGAAAUGUGGUGUUCAGGUUGUUCCGCAAAGGUGCUGCUCCACCCUAAGUCCAUCCAUGAGUGCGGUAGGUUGGACCAGGCCACAGAGGGUGAAAGGCCCGUGGGGGUGGGGAUCAGUUAGGCCAGUACCUUUCUGGAUAGACCUUGGAGUCGGGUUGUUUGUGAAUGCAGCCCAAAGUGGGUGGUAAACUCCAUCCAAGGCUAAAUACAAGCACGAGUCCGAUAGCGAACAAGUACCGUGAGGGAAAGUUGAAAAGUACUUUGAAGAGAGAGUAAACAGUGCGUGAAACCGGUCAGAGGUAAACGGGUGGAGUUGAACUGCAAGCUCUGGGAAUUCAGCUGGUGAGCGUGGCUUGAGCUUGGUUAAAUUGGUUGGACCCUGGAGUCUGCGUAGCAGCAGGCCUUCGCCUUUCGGGGUGGGGGUGCGCGAUGCACUUGUCACGUGCUGUGCGCUCUUGGUGUUUCAUCGGACCAGUUCGCCAGUGCACUUUCUCGGAGUGGUCACCACGACGGGCAUUGCUGUCUGGCUGUUGCGGUUAAACCGGUUUGACAUUGCCCUAGUGGCUUUGUCGGGUCGGGAUGGCAGGUAGCUCGUUGGCUUGCUUGUGGCUUGCUGCAGGCGUUCGGCUUUCGAGUGUAAUCAGCUGACUGCAUCGGUUCUGUACGGUAUGUCUGGGACGGCGGCUUUUGUGUGUGCGUGCGUACCUGUCUGGACGUCGCAUUCGGGUUUGGUUGUUUUGUAGCCUGUGAAUGCAGGCCUGAUAAUGGCCCGGGUGUGUUCGUUUGGCGGUGGCGUGCGUGUCACGUUCUCAUGGGCCAAUAGUCUGUGGUGUAGUGGUAGACUAUCCACCUGACCCGUCUUGAAACACGGACCAAGGAGAGUAACAUGUGCGCGAGUCAUUGGGCGUUACAAAACCCAGAGGCGUAGUGAAAGUAAAGGCUGGGCUUGUCCUAGCUGAGGUGAGAUCCUGUCGUUUCUCAUGCGCGGUACUACCAAGCUUCGAGCGGCAGGCGCAUCACCGGCCCGUCCCAUGACAAUUGUUUUCGAGCGUUAUCCAGUCGGGGCGGAGCAUGAGCGUACAUGUUGAGACCCGAAAGAUGGUGAACUAUGCUUGCGCAGGUUGAAGCCAGAGGAAACUCUGGUGGAGGACCGAAGCGGUUCUGACGUGCAAAUCGAUCGCCAGACGUGGGUAUAGGGGCGAAAGACUAAUCGAACCAUCUAGUAGCUGGUUCCCUCCGAAGUUUCCCUCAGGAUAGCUGACC
rnacentral:rRNA from 1 species